rnacentral:rRNA from 1 species
AUUGAACGCUGGCGGCAUGCCUUACACGUGCAAGUCGAACGGCAGCACGGGAGCAAUCCUGGUGGCGAGUGGCGAACGGGUGAGUAAAGUAUCGGAACGUGCCCAGUCGUGGGGGAUAACGUAGCGAAAGUUACGCUAAUACCGCAUACGAUCUAUGGAUGAAAGCGGGGGAUCGCAAGACCUCGCGCGAUUGGAGCGGCCGAUAUCAGAUUAGGUAGUUGGUGGGGUAAAGGCUCACCAAGCCGACGAUCUGUAGCUGGUCUGAGAGGACGACCAGCCACACUGGGUCUGAGACACGGCCCAGACUCCUACGGGAGGCAGCAGUGGGGAAUUUUGGACAAUGGGCGAAAGCCUGAUCCAGCCAUGCCGCGUGCAGGAUGAAGGCCUUCGGGUUGUAAACUGCUUUUGUACGGAACGAAAAGGUUUGGCCUAAUAAGCUGAGCUCAUGACGGUACCGUAAGAAUAAGCACCGGCUAACUACGUGCCAGCCGCCGCGGUAA